rnacentral:rRNA from 1 species
GUAGGGUGCGAGCGUUAAUCGGAAUUACUGGGCGUAAAGCGUGCGUAGGCGGUUCGUUAAGUUCGUUGUGAAAGCCCCGGGCUCAACCUGGGAACUGCAAUGGAAACUGGCGGGCUUGAGUGUGGCAGAGGGGGGUGGAAUUCCGCGUGUAGCAGUGAAAUGCGUAGAGAUGCGGAGGAACACCGAUGGCGAAGGCAGCCCCCUGGGCCAACACUGACGCUCAGGCACGAAAGCGUGGGGAGCAAACAGGAUUAGAUACCCUGGUAGUCCACGCCCUAAACGAUGCUCACUAGGUGUUGGGGAAGCGAUUCCUUGGUACCGUAGCUAACGCGUGAAGUGAGCCGCCUGGGGAGUACGGCCGCAAGGUUA